CCUACGGGGCGCAGCAGUGGGGAAUAUUGGGCAAUGGGCGCAAGCCUGACCCAGCAACGCCGCGUGAAGGAAGAAGGCUUUCGGGUUGUAAACUUCUUUUAAGGGGGAAGAGCAGAAGACGGUACCCCUUGAAUAAGCCACGGCUAACUACGUGCCAGCAGCCGCGGUAAUACGUAGGUGGCAAGCGUUGUCCGGAUUUAAUGGGUGUAAAGGGCGUGCAGCCGGAGAGACAAGUCAGAUGUGAAAUCCACGGGCCCAACCCGUGAAAUGCAUUUGAAACUGUUUCCCUUGAGUGUCGGAGAGGUAAUCGGAAUUCCGUGUGUAGCGGUGAAAUGCGUAGAUAUAAGGAAGAACACCAGUGGCGAAGGCGGAUUACUGGACGAUAACUGACGGUGAGGCGCGAAAGCGUGGGGAGCAAACAGGAUUAGAUACCCCAGUAGUC
rnacentral:rRNA from 1 species